GAUGAACGCUGGCGGCGUGCCUAAUACAUGCAAGUCGAGCGAACGGACGAGAAGCUUGCUUCUCUGAUGUUAGCGGCGGACGGGUGAGUAACACGUGGAUAACCUACCUAUAAGACUGGGAUAACUUCGGGAAACCGGAGCUAAUACCGGAUAAUAUUUUGAACCGCAUGGUUCAAAAGUGAAAGACGGUCUUGCUGUCACUUAUAGAUGGAUCCGCGCUGCAUUAGCUAGUUGGUAAGGUAACGGCUUACCAAGGCAACGAUGCAUAGCCGACCUGAGAGGGUGAUCGGCCACACUGGAACUGAGACACGGUCCAGACUCCUACGGGAGGCAGCAGUAGGGAAUCUUCCGCAAUGGGCGAAAGCCUGACGGAGCAACGCCGCGUGAGUGAUGAAGGUCUUCGGAUCGUAAAACUCUGUUAUUAGGGAAGAGCAUAUGUGUAAGUAACUGUGCACAUCUUGACGGUACCUAAUCGGAAAGCCACGGCUAACUACGUG
rnacentral:rRNA from 1 species